AUAGAGAGGGCGCGUUGCCGAGCGACGGGGGGGGGCCGUUCACCGCAGAGCGCCGGCGGAACAGCCACGCGGCCAUCGAGAGGAGCUGCGCCGCCGCGAGCGGCCGGCCAGCCGCGGCCGGCUGCCCCAAGGACCGGGGCGGCCCCCGCGCCGGACCACAGGGAGCGCGGAGCGCGCACGGACAGAGCGGGCCGCGGGCACCGAGAAGAAGCCUCGGGUGACGGGAGUGCAUCAGCCGGCGUGGCCUGGGACAGCAGAUUAAUGGACAGCUGAGCAUUCUGUCAUUGGGUUACAAAAGGAGAAGUUAGCGCAUCAGAAAGGACUUCUCUUACGGCAAAAAGGCCAGGAACCACUCAAGGAAGGCUGACAGGUUUUAUCAACAGAAUGGAAACUGAAGUGAUAAGGUAUGGGACCAAUUGGUACUAGCCACUGCACAAACUGAAGCAAAUGGAGUGCUGUCCUUGAAGAAACUUAAGCUAAUAACUUGAACCUAUUAUGCUCAAGUGAGUUUGAAAAAUGAGAGAAGAGUAAAAAGGUGAGAGGAGCUGUGAUAAAAUGCAUCACUAUAUAGGCUGAAGCUCUGGCCUCAGACUGCUCCGUGUAUGUUCUGUGAGAACCAUGUAGGUAAUGAAGACACUAGCUGAAGCAAUUACUGAGGUAUUACUGACUAUCAUGGAAGACAGAACUUUUUGCCAUAUGAUGUUGUGUAUGUCAAAAGCGUAAAUGGAUUAAAAUUUUCUGGAAGGCUGAUGAGAAGCCAGCGUCCUGCCAAAGACACCAAGGCUCAUUCAACUGUCAAAAGCGAUAGAGGCUCUGACCUUACUGUUCCAGAAUGCAUAAGUUGGGCACAUACGGAUCUUCUAUUAACGUUCAAUGUUAGUGGACCCAAGAGCUUCUCUGCCAACUAUUUCGGAGUUUCUGAGCCUGCUGAUUUAAAAAUGUUCAUUGCUUAUAUAUUCUAACAUCUUUCUCAGUUACUAAUAGACUAGAAGGUAUUUCAUCAUCUUCAAGCAAUGAAAGCAAAUCAUCCUUCUUUCCAAAUACUGAAUAAAAGUCUGUUUGAACA